rnacentral:rRNA from 1 species
CCUACGGGCGGCUGCAGUGGGAAAUAUUGCACAAUGGGCGCAAGCCUGAUGCAGCCAUGCCGCGUGUGUGAAGAAGGCCUUCGGGUUGUAAAGCACUUUCAGCGGGGAGGAAGGCGUUAAGGUUAAUAACCUUGGCGAUUGACGUUACCCGCAGAAGAAGCACCGGCUAACUCCGUGCCAGCAGCCGCGGUAAUACGGAGGGUGCAAGCGUUAAUCGGAAUUACUGGGCGUAAAGCGCACGCAGGCGGUCUGUCAAGUCGGAUGUGAAAUCCCCGGGCUCAACCUGGGAACUGCAUUCGAAACUGGCAGGCUAGAGUCUUGUAGAGGGGGGUAGAAUUCCAGGUGUAGCGGUGAAAUGCGUAGAGAUCUGGAGGAAUACCGGUGGCGAAGGCGGCCCCCUGGACAAAGACUGACGCUCAGGUGCGAAAGCGUGGGGAGCAAACAGGAUUAGAUACCCCGGUAGUC